CAACUUUCAACAACGGAUCUCUUGGCUCUCGCAUCGAUGAAGAACGCAGCGAAAUGCGAUAAGUAAUGUGAAUUGCAGAAUUCAGUGAAUCAUCGAAUCUUUGAACGCACCUUGCGCCCCUUGGUAUUCCGAGGGGCACACCUGUUUGAGUGUC
rnacentral:rRNA from 3 species